rnacentral:rRNA from 1 species
UACGUAGGGUGCAAGCGUUGUCCGGAAUUAUUGGGCGUAAAGAGCUCGUAGGCGGUUUGUCGCGUCGAAUGUGAAAACUCGGGGCUUAACUCCGGGCCUGCAGUGGGUACGGGCAGACUAGAGUGCGGUAGGGGAGACUGGAAUUCCUGGUGUAGCGGUGAAAUGCGCAGAUAUCAGGAGGAACACCGGUGGCGAAGGCGGGUCUCUGGGCCGUAACUGACGCUGAGGAGCGAAAGCGUGGGGAGCGAACAGG